rnacentral:lncRNA from 1 species
UUCAUCGAGUCAAUUAUAUUGUAUAUACUCUCUCCUCUUUUCUUUUAAUGUGAGAAAGGGUAUUAUAAGAGAAUCGAGAAGGUGUGUGCUACGUCUCAAUUCUUAAUCGUUCAAUCAAUGGUUAGGGUGUUGCACUUAAAUUUUAUAACAUUGAAGCCUAAUAUUAAACCUCUGCUUUGUAGAUAAUAAAAGGGAGUAAGCAAAUAACAUGUUCUACACAUGAUUGUUCAAAACACAAAACAUAAACGGUUCAAGAAACUAGAAAGCAACCACCAGAGAUUAGAAGAUAGAGCAAGACAAAGACUAC